AUUGAACGCUGGCGGCAGGCUUAACACAUGCAAGUCGAGCGGGGUGAUGGUGCUUGCACUAUCACUUAGCGGCGGACGGGUGAGUAAUGCUUAGGAAUCUGCCUAUUAGUGGGGGACAACAUCUCGAAAGGGGUGCUAAUACCGCAUACGUCCUACGGGAGAAAGCAGGGGAUCACUUGUGACCUUGCGCUAAUAGAUGGGCCUAAGUCGGAUUAGCUAGUUGGUGGGGUAAAGGCCUACCAAGGCGACGAUCUGUAGCGGGUCUGAGAGGAUGAUCCGCCACACUGGGACUGAGACACGGCCCAGACUCCUACAGGAGGCAGCAGUGGGGAAUAUUGGACAAUGGGGGGAACCCUGAUCCAGCCAUGCCGCGUGUGUGAAGAAGGCCUUAUGGUUGUAAAGCACUUUAAGCGAGGAGGAGGCUCUUUUGGUUAAUACCCAAGAUGAGUGGACGUUACUCGCAGAAUAAGCACCGGCUAACUCUGUGCCAGCAGCCGCCGUAA
rnacentral:rRNA from 1 species